GUGCGCAGGCGCGAAAACUUUACAAUGCGGGAAACCGUGAUAAGGGGACACCGAGUGCCAGCAUCAUAUGCUGGCUGUCCAGGUGUGUAAAAUACACCUGUUAGCAAGGGCCGGGCAAGACCGGUGCCAGCCGCCGCGGUAACACCGGCGGCCCGAGUGGUGAUCGUGAUUAUUGGGUCUAAAGGGUCCGUAGCCGGUUUGGUCAGUCCUCCGGGAAAUCUGAUAGCUCAACUAUUAGGCUUUCGGGGGAUACUGCCAGACUUGGAACCGGGAGAGGUAAGAGGUACUACAGGGGUAGGAGUGAAAUCUUGUAAUCCCUGUGGGACCACCUGUGGCGAAGGCGUCUUACCAGAACGGGUUCGACGGUGAGGGACGAAAGCUGGGGGCACGAACCGGAUUAGAUACCCGGGUAGUCCCAGCCGUAAACGAUGCUCGCUAGGUGUCAGACAUGGCGCGACCGUGUCUGGUGCCGCAGGGAAGCCGUGAAGCGAGCCACCUGGGAAGUACGGCCGCAAGGCUGAAACUUAAAGGAAUUGGCGGGGGAGCAC
rnacentral:rRNA from 1 species